rnacentral:misc_RNA from 1 species
UCUCCGUAGGUGAACCUGCGGAGGGAUCAUUACAAGUGACCCCGGUCUAACCACCGGGAUGUUUAUAACCCUUUGUUGUCCGACUCUGUUGCCUCCGGGGCGACCCUGCCUUCGGGCGGGGGCUCCGGGUGGACACUUCAAACUCUUGCGUAACUUUGCAGUCUGAGUAAACUUAAUUGAUAAAUUAAAACUUUUAACAACGGAUCUCUUGGUUCUG